rnacentral:tRNA from 1 species
GAAAUGGUAGCCUAGUGGACAUGGCAUCUGCCUGGUAAGCGGAACACUGGGUUCGAUUCCCAUCCCUGGACA